UUAGUUUAUACAUGAGGCCCAGAUGAGGAUCCUUCUUGAAAGUCACACAGGAAACUAGCCAGGCCUGUUGAGCUCCACGUCCACCCUUCUUCCAUCGUACUGGAUGCCAUGGUCUCCCGUCCAAAGAGCCCAGCUUCUGUGUGUCCUUGAGAGGAGUGGCCUUAGGGAAACUUGGAAGAGGGAGGGCUGAACUAGUCUGUUUUGCGUUGCUGUAACAAAAUACCAGAGGCCGGAUACUUUAAAAAGAAGAGAAGUUUAUUAUUAAGUUCUGAACACUUAGAAUCUAAAAUCAGGCAACCCUUUCAGGCCACUGGUGAGGGUCCCCUUUUCUGUAUUUCAACAUGACAGUGGCUUGUGGGAGGGGGAGAUCACGUGUGGAGACACACUGAGGUCCAAGCUUCCCGUGUAGGAACCCUUGGGGGACAGAGCACAUCCAGACCCGGUAGAGGGUGGGGACUGCCCUCAGUGCACGUGGUCUGCUGAGUUUUCUCAGCGAGAGGCCCCCUAUUUGCAUGUCUGCAGGGAUUGGCUGAGAGAUGGGCGUGUGAUUCCAGCCGGACCAAUCAGAGCUGACCGCGGGGCUGGUUCUGAAACUCUAGGGAAAGGAGGGCCUUUCUCUAAAUGCACAGAGAGGGAGCCUGGAUGGCCUGGGGACAGCCCAGUGUCCCCACGGGGAAGUCCUGCUUGGUAGUGAAGUCACCAGGAGAGGGUGGAGCCAAGUCGUGGGGAGAGAGCGGCUUUCUGAAAUUGAAAGGACAACUGGGUACGGUGGCGGUGCACGCCUGUCAUCCCAGCGGCUGGGGAGGCUGAGGCAGGAGGAUGGAGAGGACAGAGGCUGGGGAGGCUGAGGCAGGAGGAUGGAGAGGACAGAGGCAGCCUCAGCGAGGAGAGGGGCUCAGCAACCCAGCAAGACCCUGCCUCAGACUGUGAGAAGGGUGGGCUGUGGCUCAGUGGCUAAGCGCCCCCGGUUCCAUCUCUGGGCCCAAACAGGAAAGGACAAUACCUAUUAGAGGGUGUCCUGAGAACUGAGACCCGAGAGUGCUUUGCUUCUGCUACCUGAGUGUCCUAGUGUCACCGUCACCUUGGUUGUCAACAGAUCCGCAAGUCCCCAGGCACCAGGGACUUUAAUUCCCCAGCGCUCAGCAGUGUUGGGUACACAGUAGGCGCCCAAUCCAUGCUUGCCCAAUCAAUUGGGAAGUAAAUCUGGCCUCCCAAGUAGAGGGGGCUACUUGGGGACAGCGGCUGAGUCACCCAGACCUUCUGUCCUUGCCCUUGCCCUCGCCCUCACCACGUUUUUGCAUAACAGGGAUGGUUUUCACCCCUAAAAAAAAAUUCUAACUCAAUUAUCGUGUGACUAUUUAUCAGUUAGGACCAAAGGAAUGAAAAUAAGUCCCCAGGCACAAACCCCGGGAUGUGUGGGGCAGUCGCUCUAACGCGGAGCUCAGCCCUCUACUGAUUCCAUGUUUUCCUUUGGAAACCCGACCACGCCAGGCUGCCCUGCAAUUUGGAAGCGAGACCCGGUUCUCACAGGGUCCCUUGCCCUGUUGGGAGGGGUGUGGGCGACCUUGGCCGUCACCGCGGGCGCAGAAUGGGGACGUCAGGGUUGGAGUGCAGCGGAUAUUUGGGAAUGAACGACGUCGUGGAGGGACGGAUGCCUCACCUGCCUGCCUUGUCCUGAGUCGCUCUGUCCUGCGGGCCACUUGGUGACACAGACGUCUGUUUAAAAUGGACCUGAGGCCAUGGCCUCCCUCUCCACCAAACCCUCUAUAGCUCCCAGCUGCUCUGAUGACACAGAGACCCUGCAAAGGUGGACCCCCAUCUGCUGCCAGCUGCCCAUCUCUGUCAUCCUGAAGAAGAGGUGCCCGUGGGGUCCACCAAGGUGACCCCAGAGGACACCGCUUGGCGCUGGAGGUGUCUUUGCACCGAUAUCAGAAAACGGUGAUGUUCCAGGAAUUCUCUUUGGACCAGAGAACGAGGCCACGGACACCCGACUGAGCUCAUGCUGCCAAGGUUAUCCGAUCCCAUCUGCGGCUCAGGUCCUGCUGCCCAGGAAAGCAGAACGGCUCCCGCUGAUCUUGAACUUGGACCGAGAGGGAACGUGGAUAAUCAAAACCACCAGCAGAAACGGCCGAGAUACAGCACGUUCUGGGUUUCUUCUGCCAAGAAAAGGCAACAGCGAGGAUGAGUGCUGGGGUCACGGGGCGCAGCAGCAGCAGAGCGUAGGAUGGAGUCUCACCAACCACCGAGACUGAAGGGGGUACGGAGCCAGAGCGCGCAGGCCAACGUGGGUCAUGUUGCACACAGACCAAGGGCGCUGCGAAGGCAGAAGAGCGCCACCUGCUGUCACAGUUGAGAUUAGGAAGUGAGCUGAGCGGUAAGGGGCCCUCCAUCCAUCUCAGAGGGGCAAGAAGGGCUGGUGCGCUCUUGCACGAGGACAGCAGGGACAAUACGUCAUGUGCCGUCAUGGGCUGUCCACUUCAGAAGUCUGCCAGAAAAGAUCUAGAAAACUGCUGCCCAUGAUGAGUAUUUGAGGAUAAAAAACCCAUUUUUAUGUUUUCAUGCACCAGUUUAAAAAAUGUGUGAUUGAUGGGGGUUUGGGGGUGCAUGCCUGUUAGCCCAGGGACUUGGGAGGCCGAGGCAGGAGGGUCGCAAGAUGGAGGCCAGCCUCAGCAAAUCAGUGAGGCCCUAAGCAAGUUGGUGAGACCCUGUGUCAAAAUACAAAAUAAAAUAAAAGAAUGGACAUGGGGUUUAGUGGCUGAGUGACCCUGCGUUCAAUCCUUAGUACCCCAAAAAACAAGCAAAACAAAAACAAAAUAAAAUAAUAAUCCACAUUUAGUUGGAAAAAAAAUAAGACGGGAACUUUAGGUGCAUUCUCUGGGCGUCUGAGAUCAUCGUUACUGUAUAUUACUUUAUUGUGGGGGGUACUGGGAAUUGAACUU